AUUGAACGCUGGCGGUAGGCUUAACACAUGCAAGUCGAGCGGAAACGAAGAAUAGCUUGCUAUUCUGGCGUCGAGCGGCGGACGGGUGAGUAAUGCUUGGGAAUCUGCCUAGUCGAGGGGGACAACAGUUGGAAACGACUGCUAAUACCGCAUACGACCUACGGGUGGAAGGGGGCCUCUUCUUGAAAGCUCUCGCGAUUAGAUGAGCCCAAGUGGGAUUAGCUAGUUGGUGAGGUAAGAGCUCACCAAGGCGACGAUCCCUAGCUGGUCUGAGAGGAUGAUCAGCCACACUGGGAACUGAGACACGGGUCCAGACUCCUACGGGAGGCAGCAGUGGGGAAUAUUGCACAAUGGGGGAAACCCUGAUGCAGCCAUACCGCGUGUAUGAAGAAGGCCUUAGGGUUGUAAAGUACUUUCAGCGAGGAGGAAGGUGGUGAGCUUAAUACGUUCAUCAAUUGACGUUACUCGCAGAAGAAGCACCGGCUAACUCC
rnacentral:rRNA from 1 species